rnacentral:rRNA from 1 species
AAGCGAGGCAAAGCCGCGAGGCAGAGCGAAUCGCUAAAAGACCGUCCCAGUUCGGAUUGCAGGCUGCAACCCGCCUGCAUGAAGUUGGAAUCGCUAGUAAUCGCGGAUCAGCAUGCCGCGGUGAAUACGUUCCCGGGCCUUGUACACACCGCCCGUCACACCAUGAGAGUCGGGAACACCCGAAGUCCGUAGCCUGACCGCAGGGGGGCGCGGCCGAAGGUGGGUUCGAUAAUUGGGGUGAAGUCGUAACAAGGUAUC